UGUGGGAGCUGGCUUGCCAGCGAUGGCGCCAGUUCAGUCAAUAUCUUGAUCGACUGUUCUACCGCUAUCGCUGGCAAGCCAGCUCCCACA
rnacentral:antisense_RNA from 1 species